CAGCUAGUUGGUAAGGUAACGGCUUACCAAGGCUACGAUGGGUAGGGGUCCUGAGAGGGAGAUCCCCCACACUGGUACUGAGACACGGACCAGACUCCUACGGGAGGCAGCAGUGAGGAAUAUUGGACAAUGGGCGCAAGCCUGAUCCAGCCAUGCCGCGUGCAGGAUGACGGUCCUAUGGAUUGUAAACUGCUUUUGCACAGGAAGAAACAACUCUACGUGUAGAGUCUUGACGGUACUGUGAGAAUAAGGAUCGGCUAACUCCGUGCCAGCAGCCGCGGUAAUACGGAGGAUCCAAGCGUUAUCCGGAAUCAUUGGGUUUAAAGGGUCCGUAGGCGGUUUAGUAAGUCAGUGGUGAAAGCCCAUCGCUCAACGGUGGAACGGCCAUUGAUACUGCUAGACUUGAAUUAUUAGGAAGUAACUAGAAUAUGUAGUGUAGCGGUGAAAUGCUUAGAGAUUACAUGGAAUACCAAUUGCGAAGGCAGGUUACUACUAAUGGAUUGACGCUGAUGGACGAAAGCGUGGGUAGCGAACAGGAUUAGAUACCCUGGUAGUC
rnacentral:rRNA from 1 species